CAGUAGCCGCGGUAAUACGAAGGGUGCAAGCGUUAAUCGGAAUUACUGGGCGUAAAGCGUGCGUAGGCGGUGAGUUAAGUCUGCUGUGAAAUCCCCGGGCUCAACCUGGGAAUUGCAGUGGAUACUGGAUCACUAGAGUGUGGUAGAGGAUAGUAGAAUUUCCGGUGUAGCAGUGAAAUGCGUAGAGAUCGGAAGGAACAUCUGUGGCGAAGGCGACUAUCUGGGCCAACACUGACACUGAGGCACGAAAGCGUGGGGAGCAAACAGGAUUAGAUACCCGAGUAGUCCCUGUCUCUUAUAC
rnacentral:rRNA from 1 species